GACGAACGCUGGCGGCGUGCUUAACACAUGCCAGUCGAACGGAAAGGCCCUGCUUUUGUGGGGCGCUCGAGUGGCGAACGCGUGAGUAACACGCGAGUAACCUGCCCUUGACUUUGGGAUAUCUUCAGGAAACUGGGGCUAUUACCGGAUAGGAGCUCCUGCUGCAUGGUGGGGGUUGGAAAGUUUCGGCGGUUGGGGAUGGAAUCGCGGCUUAUCAGCUUGUUGGUGAGGUAGUGGCUUACCAAGGCUUUGACGGGUAGCCGGCCUGGGAGGGGGACCGGCGACAUUACGACUGAGAUACGGCCCAGACUCCUACGGGACGCAACGGUGGAGAGUAUUACACAGUAGGCGGGAGCCAGAUGCAGCAACGCCGCGUGCGGGAAGACGGGCUUCGAGUUGUGAACCGAUGUCGCCUGUGACGAGGCGUGAGUGACGGUAAUGGGUAAAGAAGCACCGGCUAACUACGUG
rnacentral:rRNA from 1 species